AUGUUCUCCACACCUAUUCCUUUGUGUAAAAAAUUCUAAAAUCUUAGCUGAAGUCAAUAUACCACUUCACACUAAUUUGCUACGGCUCUAUUUGUCCCAUUUUCCAAGACUGUUUAGUGUUUUCCAGCAUCUGAUUUUCUUUCCCACUGCUGUUUUGCACUCUCCAAAGUCCACUGGAAAUGUUUAAUAAUCUAAUUUACAGGCUCUUUAGAAACCUCUAGAGAAAAUUCAGACUCAGCUAACACUCCAGGUUCCCCUUAUCGAUACACUUUGCCUUUUUUAUUCCCCGACAGGAGAGGCUUGCUUUCUUUGUCAUCACUGAAGAUAUUAAUAUCUAACAAAGAAUCUUUUCUAGCUUCUUGAACUGAUAAAAGACUUAAGAAAAAAUAAACUUCCACUAAUUUAUUAUCACAGACUACCUAAAUUCUUCAAUUCCAUGCUACUUUCUUACAUAAAUUCUCCCUGACUGUGCUGAUUUUGUUUUUCCAUCUGACUUUUUAAAUCCCUGGAGAAGGCUAAGAUACUAAGGAAGCACAAGUCUCAGAUUUUUGCAACCAGAAAUUCAGGUAGAAGAAAUAAAAACUUUGAGAUAAGAACAAACUUUUAUAAUAAUUUUGUGAAGAAAAAAAAGAUGAUGAUGAAGAGCAAGAGGAAGAAGAGGGAGAAGCAGGAGGAGAAGAAGAAGAGAAAGAAGAAAAAGGAGGAGAAGGAGAAGGAGAAGGAGAAGGAGAAGAAGACGACGACAACGAUGACUUCCAUGGAUCCCUGAUCUCCUUUAUUGGAGAUACAACUGGUGGAAGGUGAUGGAGAAUUCUAGUGUACCCUGAAGACCAGAGGCUCUCCAGGAGUCCUCCAUGAUCUCAUACCAGUUUGGGCCUGCUGAGGCACCCAGUCUUAAGGACUGAAUGGCUACUGGGGUUUUGGCCUCUCCAACAUGAAGACAGACAUUGUUGGACAACCCAGACCCUAUUAUGUAAACCACACCUCUAGAGAAGCCUCACUAAUACAAAAGGAGAAAGGACUGAUUGGUUUCUUGAUUGAGUGGUUUUCAACUGUGACUCCAGCCGAGGAUCACAAGCUAAGCCUGAAGCGUUACUCCAUCAGCUGCAGUGAGCAGAGUGUGGCUCUCCAGAGAUGGAAAACCUUCAAAGAUCAUCAUCAUCAAAGGACCCUGCUUGAAUCUACAGCCAUUCACAGCCUGCACCCUGCUAUUCUGUGAGCUUUCUGAGUGGCUCCUGACACUAGAAAAUCAUCAAUGAAUAUACAUCUCAAGGAAACAACCAUAAAGGACAUGUUACAGAAUGCAGAAUUUGGGGCUUCUGCCCUUUGUGAUCAUCAACAUUUUCAUUUCCCUUACACACAUACUGAAUAUUAUAUUAUAUAAAAUGCUAUGCUUUCUAAGAAGCAGUCUGUAAGAGAGGCACGGGACUAAGUGUCACUCUCUUUUAAAGAUUAAGCUGAGAUUUAAAGACGACAACCUUCUUGCCCCUUGUUACAGGAAAAAUAAAUAAUGGAGAAGGGACUGGAUCCCAGUUGUGUUUUUCUAAAAUUCCAAGUUCAGUGUCCUCUAACUACACAACACUGAAGAAGUACCAUGCAGCAGGACAAAUGUAAGGAUAACUAUCCCACUCAUCUAUUUUUAACUAAUCUUACUUGCCUUCCUUCCCUCAAGCAGCUGUGUGGCAGUGUUUACUUAACUACUCCUUCAUGAUAAGUAACUUUUAUCCUAAGUUUCCUGGGGGAUAUAAAUUUUUCUGUUUAGCUUUCUAGUAGUUACUCAAAAGAAGGUCAUUUAUAUACUUAUAUAUAUUGCUCUGAGCUAUAUUUUCAAA
ensembl:lncRNA